UUUGCAGGGAAUGUAUCGGCAUUGUGCUAUGAUUAAUGCACUCUGUUACGAAGCAUGCCCUGCAAAAUCAAUGCUAGGAAGAUGAGUAGUUGUGUUUUAAUUUCGGCAAUUAAAAUUGUCAAAAUCAUCUUCCCAGCAACA